CUGAUGGUGGUUCAGUGGUAGGACUCUUACCUGCCAGGCAGGAGACCGAGGUUCGAUUCCUGGCCAAUGCA
rnacentral:tRNA from 1 species